AUAAAACCAGGGAGCUGGUAUCAGGAAGGGGGCUGUAGCCAUUCUUCCUAGGCCAAGCGCAAGAAAGAGAUCUGGACCCAAGAGGAAGGGUUUGUCUACCAGAUCCAGGAGACAGGGGUUUAGCUACAAGGGUGGGGAAUGUGAGCCCAGGAUAAGCAAGGUAAGAAGACGUCCAGGGGAGUGGCAGGAAGGUUUGUGGUUGCCCAGACCUUUGCUGCUGCAGACAGGGCCCCAGGCCUGGAACCCAGUUUAGGGGGUGGGCCACGGUUCCCUAACCAGGGUUCACUAACCAGU